UACGAAGGGGGCUAGCGUUGCUCGGAAUCACUGGGCGUAAAGGGCGCGUAGGCGGCCGAUUAAGUCGGGGGUGAAAGCCUGUGGCUCAACCACAGAAUUGCCUUCGAUACUGGUUGGCUUGAGACCGGAAGAGGACAGCGGAACUGCGAGUGUAGAGGUGAAAUUCGUAGAUAUUCGCAAGAACACCAGUGGCGAAGGCGGCUGUCUGGUCCGGUUCUGACGCUGAGGUGCGAAAGCGUGGGGAGCAAACAGG
rnacentral:rRNA from 1 species